CAGUACGUGAGUUGCUUACGGGUUAAGCCCGAUGAACCUAAAUAUCCGGUACGAAAAAGUCAUUAUUAUGAGUAUAUUAUUUUAUAAGGUAUUAAUAGUGUGCAUUUUUUUCAUAAAAAGGACAUUGUAAUCUGUUAAUACAAUUUAUAUAUUCUUUUAUAUAUUAUUUUUAUCAUAAAGAGUCAUGUAUAAGUUUACAUAUAAAUUAAUUAAUUUAUUAAUUAAUUGAUGUAAGAUCGAUGAAUUUCUAGAUAAAUAGUUAACAGUAUUAAAAUAUAUAAUGCUUACAUAAUUUUUUAUGUUUUAUAUAUAAUAUGUACAUGUACAUAUAUAAACACGGCCCAAGGAGUCUAAACACGGACCA
rnacentral:rRNA from 1 species